rnacentral:sRNA from 1 species
ACAUUGGCAGGUAACGAGCGGCGGCGGCGGCGUCAGCGGCAGCGGGUCUUGAGUCCUCCGAGAGCAGCAGCGAUUUUCUGUUUUGUACAUACGUUAUUUUGUAUAUACUGUAUAUGAUGACUUCAGUGAGCAGUGACCAUUGUCGAGGUGCUCGGGAAAAACCACAGAUUUCAGCAGCACAAUCAACGCAACCACAGAAACAAGUGGUACAGCUGUACCGACCUCUUGACACUUCCUAGAGCUCAGCCUGGCAACGGCUGAACAGAUGCGUCUCGCUCAAGUGAUCUUUGAUAAGAAUGAUUCAGAUUUUGAAGCUAAAGUUAAGCAGGUAUGUUCCUGGCAAAGGAUAUCAUCAUUUUUUAAUCUAUUUUGAUUGUGCUUAAAAAGAUAAUUUCAGUAAAGAUUUUUGUUUUAAAGUAUUACUUCGAGCUUCUAGUCUCACCUGAAAUCUGUGUGUUGGAUUUUGGACUUGUGAUUAAAAAUAUCUGUACUGGUGGGCAAGUGAAGGAAUUGAAUACGUUCACCUACCUUACAAUACAGUCUUUCUGAGUUACUAGUGUUUACAUGUGAACACUGAACCAGACAUUUCUGUAAGCACACUGAGAUUUUCCAAUACCUGUGCAUAGGAAGUAUAUCUAACAUUUGGCACAGUCUCUGGGAAUUUUGUUUAAUAUUAGAGAUGAACUGAAUUACCUUUAAAAAAUUUUUUUUUUCAUAGAGACAUGGUCUCACUCUGUUGCCCAGGCUGUAGUGCAGUGGUGCUGUCAUAGUUCACUGCAGCCUCAAACUCCUAGGCUCAUGCUAUCCUGCUGCCUCAGUCUCCUGAGUAGCUAUGAUGACAGAUGUUCAUCACCAUGCCCAGCUAAUUUUUAAAAUAUUUGUAGAGACAGAGUCCUGCAGUGUUGCCUAGGCUAGUCUUGAACUCCUGGGCUCAAGCAAUCUGCCUUGGCCUCCCAGAGUGCUGGGAUUACAGGAUUACUGGCCUGAAUUGCCAUUUCAAACAUGGUUGUGAUUUCAUACUCUUGCUGGAAAAGUAUAAAAUUAAAUUUUAGGGCAAUGUCUUCAUUUCGAACUUUAAUAAGAGGUAUUUUUGAUACCCUAAUCUUAAUUUCCAACUUUUCUUUGCUGACCCUUUCUCAUCAAGAUUCUAGAAAUCAAGCUGUAACCCCUACCUCAGUGCCAGAUAUACCAACUCUUGGUAGAUGUCGUCUAAUAAUUGUUCUUUGGAGUAAAGGUCUCACAAUGAAAUCUUAUUUUGUCUUACAAGAAAUCAUAGAUUUCUUUCUCUGGAAUGAGAUCUUCAUACAGUUUGAGAUAUACUUCUAUAUAUUACAUUGCCUUUUAUCUGAAUAGUAUAGAUAGAACACUGGCCCAGGAGUUCAGAGGUUUAAGUUCUAAUUUUAGUUUUGUCUGUCAGUAAUCUGAUCACUGGGGAAAUUUUGAUGUUGACUGUGUGUCUUAAAAAUUGUAUGUUGCAGGCAUUCACUUAGUACAGAUCGUUGAUAAAAAUGAGACAUUUAUUAGUAGCUAUCCAAAGACUGAAGCAUCAGAAAGCUAUAGAGUAUGCAGAACUUUUGCUGCUUGAUAAAAUGAAAAGAUGAAAGCAGGGAGGCCAAAUGGUGUAGUGCAGAGAGCUGUGAUUAUGAGAUCAGGAGGCCUGAGUUCUAGAUGGGCGUUGCUAUUAAUUACCUUUGUGACCAUAGACAAAUCACUUGAUAUGUUGGGAUCAAGCUGUUUUGAACUUCAACUAGUACAUGUUAAAAUAGUUAAAUGUAGUUAAAAUGCAAUAGAUAUUAAAUCAUAGGUUUAUUCACUGAUACUUGAGAAACCUGCAUUUUGCCUAGUCUGUGAUCGUUCUAGCGAUGCAAAUGCUAAGUAACAAGUAUCCCUUACUAAUGAGAAUAAACUGAAGAGUUUCUUUCAUCAUUACUUCAAGCAUGGCACCAUGUUGAAGAUCCUUGAGAAAAUAUGUCUAGGAGUGUGUUUUGUGAUAGUAGCAGAAUUCCACUUGUAAGACUUUAGGGUGUUAUAUAACUUAGUAUGUAUAUGGAAUGAUAUUUUUUCUUCUUUUUUUUGGGGGGGGAGACAAGGUCUUGCUCUGUCUCCUGUGCUAGAGUGCAGUGGCACAAUCAUGGCUUAUUUUCAAUCUUCGCCUCCAGGGCUGAAGCAAUCCUCCUACCACCACGCUUGGUUAAUUUUUUGUAAAGAUGAGGUCUCACUAUAUUGUCCAGUCUCGAACUCCUGGGCUCAAGCAAUCCUCUUGUUUCUGCCUCCCAAAGUGUUGAUUAUAGUCGUGAGCCACUGCGGCUGGCCUUUGAAGUGUUCUAAUCCAAAUGGUGAAAGCCAGCAUGUGGAAUAUUGUCCCUGACAAAAAAUUUGUAUUGGAUUUUCCAUGAAUGAUGACUGUGUACUCAUAUAGUUCCACCUCAUAUUUAAAUUUAGGAAUCCUGUGUGCUUGAAUUAAAUUUGAUUAUUCAGAUACUAGAUCUUGGGUAUUCUGGGAAUGUUGGUACGUAUGUAUGUGCUGCUGAUUAAUGAUCUGCUCCUUGGUCAACUUGGAGGAAGAUUGAUUUGUAGUUAGAUUCUACCAGUGUUAGUGAAAAGACAUGCAUGGAAUGGCCACAAAAAUACAAGUAAA